CCCCGACCUGGACAAAUGGGUGGUAUUCGUUCCCGCCUCGGACGCGGCGACGGUCCGCGACGCCUUGUUCGACGCCGGGGCCGGGCGC
rnacentral:tRNA from 1 species